UACGUAGGGGCCAAGCGUUGUCCGGAUUUAUUGGGCGUAAAGAGCUCGUAGGCGGUUCGGCAAGUCAGCUGUGAAAUCUCCACGCUCAACGUGGAGGGGUCAGCUGAUACUGAAGAUCUCGAGUCCGGGAGAGGUGAGUGGAACUCCGAGUGUAGAGGUGAAAUUCGUAGAUAUUCGGAAGAACACCAGUGGCGAAGGCGGCUCACUGGCCCGGUACUAACGCUGAGGUGCGAAAGCGUGGGGAGCAAACAGG
rnacentral:rRNA from 1 species